GGUAAAGUGGCCGAGUAGGUGGCGGAUUGUAAACCCGAGCACAGAGGUUUGAGCCCUCUCUUUACCA
rnacentral:tRNA from 3 species